rnacentral:lncRNA from 1 species
AGGCGAAUACGGCCAGAUACAGGAAAAGGAUAAUGCCAAGUUCAGCUUGGGAUAGAAUGUGAAGUUAAGUUGUAAAGUAUGUUGAAGAAUAGUAUUGUCAUGUGUUAGACAGUUCACGAUUGUGUAUUAGUUAAGGUUACUCGAUUUUGGGAAUAGUGUGUAAAGUUUAAUGUAUAAACAAUUUAUGUUUAUAUCUUCCGCAAUAGUGAUAGAAUUAGUAUACCGGAUCCGCGGCGAUUUGGGACCCGAAUUUGGGGCUAUCACAGUUGGUAUCAAAGUUGUAGGUUAUAAACCUUAGGUAGGUGUACCUUAGGCUAUAACCACAAAGAUGAUAAGUAAUAAACUCGAAUAGAGUUUAAGCGAUAAGAGAUGAAUUUAUGGAAAUUCAUCAUUAAGUAAAGAAGAAGAUAAAGAAGAUUCAAAGAAGAAUCUUGAAGAGAUAUAAGGAUAAGAAUCUGGAGUUACCUAACUCCAGUAAUAGAGAUGAAAAGUGAAAAUAAAUAGACUAUGUCUAUAAGAUGAAAAGUGUAAAUAAAAUCAUAAUAAAAUAUGAUUAAAGAGAAGAAUAAGAAGAUCGUAAAAUAAAACGAUCGUUAGCAUAAGGAGAAAUGAUUACGAAAUAAGAUCACCACGUGAUCAGAUUAAAUCAUUGAAUAACAUAUGAUUUGUUAAGUGAUUGGAAUGAUAUAGCUUGAUGCUAUAAAGAGAAGGUACUAUGAAAUGGUACAAUGUAAACUCAAAAAUGAGUGGAAAAUGUUAAGAUACGGAUUAAAGAAAAUUCGUAUUAAGAAAAGAGAAAGUUAAGAUUAUAUGGGUUUUCAAUUGAGGACUCAGGUCAGCAGCUGAGUUGUAUGAUUCCUUGUAUGGGCGGGGAAUUUGUACUUGGUUUUAGAAUCACUUAGCUUCCUGGUUGAUAUAGUGGUUAGGUUGACAAAUUCUUUGUAUGGGCGUGGAAUUGUCCGCUUAGCUUCCUAUAUUGAUUAGUGGCCGAGUUUGGUUUGACAACCACUUAGUUUCUGGUAAUGAUAAUCAUUGGAACCUAAUGUCGCGCUAUUUGUUAUAUGCAUGUUGAGAAGGUGAUUCUUUGCUCAUGUGUAUAACGAAUAGGUAUGUUCAUCAGGUAUGAAUUGUGAGUUCUUAAAACUCAUACUUAUGGUAAGUUCAUGACUCAUAAUCAUAUGGUAUGUUUUGAACCCCUCAGCGAAUGGACGCCUAUGGUCUGACUAGGAUAAGUUCUUAAACUCAUAUGAUUGUGGCAAGUUCCUGAACUCAUAAUGUGUGGUAAGUUUGAUGAACUGGGGUAUAGCAAAGUGGUGAAUGGAGC